GUCUGUCUCAUUUCCAGACUCUGGGCAAAAAAGAAGCAGAAUGAGCAAAUGGCAAGCAGUGUCGUCGUGGUCGCGUCUGAUCUUGAAUCAAGCAAUCAAGAGGCAGCAGCGCAGCUUACCACCGCCGGCAAACUUGACCCGUUGGUAUUCCGCCGCCGCAGUAAAUGACAGAGUAGUCCGCGACAUUCUUGCGGAGGCGGAGCGAGACAGGCAGAGAGAGCGAGAGCAGAGGAUAAAGGCCGGUCUGGACACCAAAGACAUUGACCAAGAAGAUGACGAGGACUACAUGCGUGUCACCCCCUUGAUUGAGAAGCUUGAGAAGGCCAACCUCAAGGCCUCCUCCGGUAAUCUCGAUGCCUUUGAGGAGCCCACCGACUCCGAUAGCGACGACGACGACGAGCGCUUCACUCCCGACGCCGUCAAGAAGCGCUUUGAUGAGUUCCAGAGGAAGUUCACGCGACACGAGGAGCUGCUCAAGAAAUUCACCCAGGCUGAGACACUUGAUGAUUCUUUUAAAUGGAUGACUAAAAUUGACAAGUUUGAGCAAAAACAUUUCCGGCUUCGCCCCGAGUACAGAGUCAUUGGUGAAUUGAUGAACCGUCUAAACGUAGCUGAGGGCAAGGAUAAAUUCAUUCUGCAGCACAAACUAAACAGGGCUAUGCGAUUAGUGCAAUGGAAGGAAGCCUAUGAUCCAAAUGAUCCUGCCAACUAUGGAGUCAUUCAGGAAAAACUAGAGCCCUCAUUUGAUCUUGCAGAAGACGCUGAACUUGAAAAAGAAAGGAAAAUCAUUAGACCAGUUGAUGAUGACGAUGACGAUGAAGAGUUCAAUGACAUGAAGGAGAAAGAUGACAUACUGUUAGAGAAGCUAAAUGCUAUUGACAAGAAACUUGAAGAGAAGCUUGCAGAGUUGGAUCAUACUUUUGGAAAGAAGGGAAAGGUUCUAGAGGAAGAGAUCAGAGAUCUAGCAGAAGAAAGAAAUGAAUUGACAGAGAAGAAGAGACGACCUCUCUAUAGGAAAGGAUUUGAUGUUAGAUUAAUUGAUGUGAACCGGACUUGUAAAGUCACCAAGGGAGGGCAAGUGGUCAAGUACUCUGCUAUAUUAGUAUGUGGAAACUAUCAUGGUGUUAUUGGUUAUGCUAAAGCAAAAGGCCCAGCUGUGGCUACCGCCCUCCAGAAGGCAUAUGAGAAAUGCUUUCAGAAUCUCCACUAUGUGGAACGACAUGAGGAGCAUACAAUUGCGCAUGCAAUACAAACUGCAUAUAAAAAACAAAGGUUGAAUUCUCGUUAGGUGUAUCUCUGGCCUGCACCCACUAGGACUGGUAUGAAAGCAGGAAGAACCGUAGAAACCAUUCUAAACUUGGCUGGUUUCAAUAAUGUCAAGUCUAAGGUUAUUGGUUCAAGGAAUCCUCAUAAUACAGUGAAGGCUGUUUUCAAAGCCCUUAAUGCGAUUGAAACUCCCAAGGAUAUUGAAGAAAAGUUUGGACGCACUGUUGUUGAGAAGCACCUUCAGUCAUAGAUGAUGUGGUUAUUCUGUUUAGGGUUUAUCAGAUUAGACUAUCCAAAUUUUUUUUGUAAGCGAACAUUCCUCGUUUUGUUGUUGAUAAAAUGGAGACUGAAAAGGAUACCUUUUUUGAAUCAGAAUGGGAGCUCUUUCUGCCACCACUGUAAUUGUAGUUGUAAAAGAGCAACAAAGGAAGGAUUGGCUGCCAAUUUUGUAGUUCAACGUGAAGUUUGUUUAAAGUGACAGCUGCAAGUUUUAACUUGAAUUUUACAUAAAUGCAUCAGAUCAGGAUCUGAAUGCUAGUCACUGCAUCAGAUUGUAUCAG